AUGGAGUGUGACAAGGCCAGGUGACAGGCCUGACAUGCGGUGUCCACAUCCAGAAGGGAGACCCUGGAGGGAUGACCCUCCACUGCCACCCCCUCCCAUCAGGCUCUGGACACCCUUGAGCCUCCCACCAUCCACCUUACCAGAUCCCCCCAAGAGCCCGGGAAGCUCACUCCCCCAGGGGACCAGGAGCACAGCCCCUUCCAUCCCUAACGGGCCUGACUCCCAAAGGGGGGUGAGGAAAGAAAAAGCCAUUUCACAUCGACUUAUUCUUCUGGCCCCAGGCAGCAGCACAGGGCGCAGGGUGGGCCUCUGCAGACAUGAUGGCUCCGUGGUCAGGGAGGGGCCACCUCCCAUGUGCCUGGGGAGGGGCCCUCCCAAGCCCCUGCAUGGCAGCGCCAAGGGGUUGGAGUCAGCCCCAGCACACACAGGGCCCUGCUCACUGGUGGCCAUUGUCAGCGCCACCUCCACCUUCAGGAGCCUGCCACGUGCCUGCCCUCGGUCACUUAGCCCUCCCUGGCACGCACCACUUUGUCCACACACCCUGUGUGUAAGUGGUGACAGCGGUGACAGCUCAGGCGUCACCUGAUCGGGCCGACUCUAAACCUUAGUCCUUCCUUGUCCUGUUGCGCCGGACAAGCCUCUGGGAGGCAACGGUGGGACAGCCACAGUGUUCUUGGCUCAGCCCCCAGGAGUGGGGAGCUGGGGCUCUGGACGGAGGCGGGCACUCGAGGCUGGUGUGGCCUCCUGGGUGAGGGCCAGGCUCGGGAGAGGCAGCCAGGCGGCCCCAAGCCACCCCAGGAACAAAGCACCAGCACACACCUCCACUGGUUUGCUAGGGCUGGGAGAAGUUGGAGUGUUUCUGUGGUGGCCGUGGCAGCCCACGGCCCCAAGACCCUGGCUUCCUUCUGCUCCCACCUUUUCAGGCCCCUUCCCCAACAAGCAGCUACUGUAGGACCCAGUGGGGGCUAGGGCACCAGCAGCUGCCAUUACCCAUGCUGGGGCCUGAUGGUUCCUGACCAGCCUCAACCGUGGAUUCCAAGCUGGGGAAGGAAGAAGCAGGCCGGGAGUGGGGAGGGAGACAGUGAAGGACAUCCAAACACACACACACACACACACACACACACACACACACACACACACAGAACAGCUUCAGCUUUGUUUCCCAGUAAUCUCACUUAAAAAGAACACUUGGGUUUACCAUGUUCACAUAAUCUCGUUGCUCUGAGAAUGAACUUAUUCUUCCUCCCAGCUUGGCCAUGUGUCCCUCCCCAUUGCCCAAGUCCCCUCACGACACCAUCUCCCACUGCCAUGUCCUUUCCUUGGGGACCUCCAAGUCCCUGGAGUUUGGGGACUGCAGGGUGGGUGGAGGGGCCCACAAGCUCUGCAGGGAGCCAGAAGGAAACGGUCUGUCCUACCCCAGGGCUGAGCACCUCGCUGGGAGAUGAUACCCACACCUGGAAAUAGCUCAAGGGCCGCGUGAGGCCGCACGACACCCACGCCAGUAUGAGACACCUGGCCAUGCAGCAUUCCUGGCCGAUUGCUGACAGCUGCAGGCUUUGUCAGCCAGGUGAUGUCCCCGGGGUCUCUGGGCAGGCGGGGCACACAGGAGGCAGCUCGCGCUCACUCAUCAUGGCGAGGCAGGUCGUGUGGAACUUCCUUGGUCUUCCUCAUCUGCGCCCCACCCAGCCUGGCAGACGGUGAUGCUGUGAGUGCCAGGGAAACACACACACGCACACACACACACAUGCACACAUGUACAGACAGGUGCACACAUGCCUGGGAGAGUCUGUGCUGCUCAGCUUCCGAGGGCAGCUCCCCAGGUCCCCCCAGGGUCUGCGGUAGGAGGCGAGUCUUUUAACAUCGGCCCAAACCAAACAGGACGAGGAGGGCGAAUCGGCCGUCCUCAAUAAAUCCUAGGGAGUCCCUCCAAGGCAAACAGAAAAUGCACCCCAGCUUUCACUUUUAGGGGUUUGAGUUGCGAGUUUCCAGUCUGCGGAGUGUGAUGGCCGGGUGUAAGUCUGAAACCCUCUGGGGGAGAGAAGCCGCACAGUGCAGGGGCACACAUCCCAGCUCCACUCCCCAGCUGUGAGGCCCAGGCGCAUUCCGCGUUCCCCGCCCAUCUCCACCUCCGAGGGUUGCGGGAGGCUGAGCAGUUAGAACCGUGGCUGGCGUACGGAGGGCACUCGGUAAACGUGGCUGUGCUGAGCUGUGGGCCUCGGAGUCUCGCGGGGCUGCUGGACCAGUGACCUUGCACUGGGCGGCCUAAAACAACAUGUGUUUCCUCACAGCUCGGGGGACCAGAGCUUAGAAUCUGGGGGUCACAGAGGAGGGUCCAUGCUCAUCCAGGUCAGCUCUAGGGGCUGCAGGCCACCCCUAAUCUAGGAUGGUCUUAUGUUGAGGUCCUUAAUUACAUCCACAAAGACCCUUUCCGCAGAUAAGUCCCCACGCACAGUUCCCAGGGACAGCCUCUGGGGCAGCAUCACCACCCACUCAGUCCUCCAUGCACCCCCUUGUGCUAUCACGUAACUUGGAUCAGGUCCACGUGUGUGGCUUUGCAGCUUUCCUUUGUCACAGCAUGUCACAACUGUUUUCCUGGGUGUCACUACUGUGGUUUGAAUUUGUGUGUCCCCAGCCUUCAUAUGUUGGAACCUGAGACCCAAGAAGAUCGUUAUAAGACAUGGGGCCUUUGGAAGGUGAUUAAGUCACCAGGGUCCCCAUUGAAGCGCUUGGGAAACCAUCGAGGCCCCCUCCCCUUUGUCCUCUCACCUUCCGCCGGGAGAGGACACAGCAAGAGGCACCCACUGGGAGGCAGAGAGCAGCCCCCACUCCCACCGAGGCUGCUGGCACCAAGACCCUGGACUUCCAGCCUCCAGAAGCAUGAGAAAUAAAUGUCUAUUGUGUGUCAAUG
rnacentral:lncRNA from 1 species